rnacentral:rRNA from 1 species
CUAGGAGCCGAUGAAGGACGUGAUAAGCUGCGAUAAGCUUCGGGGAGUUGCACGUAAACUUUGAUCCGAAGAUUUCCGAAUGAGGAAACUCACUUAGAGUAAUGUCUAAGUAUCAUUAAGGGAAUACAUAGCUUAAUGAGGGGAACUCAGGGAACUGAAACAUCUAAGUACCUGAAGGAAGAGAAAGAAAUUCGAUUCCGUAAG